rnacentral:misc_RNA from 1 species
GGAUACCCUACCUUCUCCUCAAUACUUUUAAGAUAGAAAAAUUUAGUGCAAAAUACUACAUAGUGUUUAAAAACAUUCACUAGAAUAAAAGUACUUGAAUAAAAAAGAAAAUACACAUUGAAGAUUAUGGUCUUUAAACAAAAGAUAACUUUUGACAUAGUAAAAGACUUCAUUUGGAGAGUGCCCGGAACUUCAGAAGAAUCACCAGUCCAAAACUAAAAGUUUGAUGCAUUUAUGAAGGAAUCUGCACAGUGAAUAGGUAAAACAUAAAAAUCGAAGUAGAAAAUACUUUUAGCAGAAAAAACCAUGAAAUGCAUCUGUAAAAGGUACCUUCAAAAAGUGAAAGACAAGUUUAAAGAUACUUCUUUUAUGUAACACAGAAAGUUAACACUAUGGUAACAGACAUACAAACCAAAUGAAUAUUAGCUGCAAAACUUAUAAACAAAGCAACAAAUCGAUUAUCUUUACCUCACUUAGGAGUAGAGCCAUAGCAUUAUAGAUACCUUAAGUUUUCCUAGUGACCUCCAUAGCCAGAGUAUGGUGCACCACCACCUUGUGGUCUUGCACCACCCUGCAUCUGUGGGUUUUGGUAUGGCAUAUGAGGCUGAGCUCCAUAUCCACCCUGGGCACCAUAUCCUGUUGCACUGUUCACCACUGGUUGCACACCCUGAUGACUCACUGGCCCACCAAGACCUCCAAGCAAAUUACCGAUCCCCAAACCAGCUCCUUGUGUAGCUAACAGCGCUGUCAGUGCCUGUCCAAGAGCUGGGGUCACAGCUGCCACAGCAGGAUUGUAUCCCACAGGUGCAGGCCCCGAUGGUGCCAUCAGAUGCCCAGCUGAUCCUGCACUGCUACCUGAAUAUUUCCCCUUCUUUGCAGGAUGCUGAUAAUAAUGCUGCUGCUGAUUAUGAUGAUGAUGAUGCUGAGGGUAAUGCUGUUGUGACUGAGGCUGUUGCUGCUGAUGAAAAUUCUUACUAUGCUUCGGUCCAUCAAUUGCCUUCUGACAAUGAAGGGUAUGCCCUUCAAAGGUCUUAUGUGGCUCCUCUAAUGCCUUCCUAGCACCCUCAACAGUCUUAUACACAAACAAACAGAACCCCUUAGGUUUCCCACUUUGCUUAUCCAAUCCAAGUGGACCCUCCUCAACUUCACCAAACUUCGAAAAGUACUCCAACAGCUUCUGAGGUUCAAGAUCAGCAGCUACAUUGCUAACAAAAAUCUUCCUUUGUGUAUACUCCGAAACCGGUGCGGCUGCUGUAGAAGGUGGAGGAGCCGGAACCGGCCCAGCAGAAGCCAACUGGCAAGAAGUCAUCCUUGUACCAAUCUUCUUCUGUGGCUCCUUCAAAGCUUUCCUAGCACCACUCCUAUGCUUAAACAAUAUAAACCCAUAACCUUUCGAUUUCCCUGAAACCUUAUCGGCAACAGCUUUACAAUCCUCAAUUUCACCGUAACUUCCAAAAACACUAGUUAGCGUUUCAGCUGUUGUAUCCCAACCUAAACCAUGAACAAAGAUUUUCCGGUGUGCCGGAUCUUUAUCAGCCAAUUUCUGAAUAUUUUCUUUGAAAUCAGGGUAUUUAGCUAAAGCUUCUUUAAUAAGCGCUGUAAGUUGAUCCUUCGUAAAGGGUUCUAACAGAUUCUCAAGUGGCUCAUCUUCCAAAUCCUCUUCAUUACCUUCCUCAAUCUUCACCUCAGCGCCGCCUCCAUUAACUUGCUCCGACUUUUCAUUAUCACCCUCUACGGCGUCAUUUCCAGAUCCAGGCGUUUCUUCUUCUUCCUCAUCAUCUUCACCGCCUUCUUCCUCUUCUUCUUCGGGAUCUUGUUCUUCUUCAUCCUCAUGUACUGCUUCUUCUUCCUCUACUUCUACAGCAUCGUUCUCGUACUCUUCUUCUUGUGCGGGUUCAACCUCAGGUUCUUGCUUAAUCUCUACUGGUUCUUCAGCUGGUUGUGAAGGUUCAGAAGCUCUGGUUUUUCGCUUCUUCGCCAUGGAAAUAGUUGAAAUUAGGGUUUUCUGAUUUGGGGGUCCCAUUGCUAUAUUUC